rnacentral:rRNA from 1 species
CACAGAAGGGGCAAGCAUUAAGCAUAUGGACUAGGCGGACAGCAUGUUAAGGCGUUAUGGUUUAUUAUUAGUUAUUUUUAAUAACUAAACUGAUGGUAAGGGAAUUUUCAGUGUACCAGUCAAAUGGACAUAACCUGGAAGGAACGUCUAUAGGCGAAGGCACUUACCACGUAUAAACUAAAGCCCUCACAUGGAACGCUGGAGUAGCAAACGGG